rnacentral:lncRNA from 1 species
ACUAACACUUAUUUAGAUGAGAAUAAAAUCUGCAUGAUUAAACUUUCUGAGUUAUUUUGUGAUCUUUUAUCUGCCUAGCUAAUAUGUUACUUUCAAGUAGAAAGCAAAAAUGAUGGCGAGUCUUUUUUUUUUUUUCUGUUUAGUACUACAGUUAGCUUAGUUUUCUAUUUGGUGCAGCUUGGUGAAUUUUCAGCUGAGCUACCAUCACAUGGUAAAUUUUGUUUUCUAUAGUAUUGAUGUGGCAAUUUUGUGAGUGCAGUCUUACCUUUGACAUACUGUAUGUUGCAUAAUCAAAGUAUCCUUUUUCUCAAUAUAGCCCAACCAUGGCAAACUGCAGGUGAUUACUUACUUUCAUCGAUAUUGGCUCAUGUAUACAGAGCAGUGCAUGGAACUGCCUAUUUGAAGGGAAUAUAUUUGGUUUUUCAUUUUGGCAAAAUAUUGGGUGAAAUACUAAGCGACUAUACGAAGUUUAUGUAUGUCUACUUUCGCAUUGGGUUUUCAUUUUGACAAAAUAUUAACUGAAAUACUUAGCGACUACAUAUACUUGGAUUGUACAUUAAUUGGGUGCUUAAACAAAAAAUGGUACUUCAUUCAUUAUUUUACUAUUCUCAUUUCUAAUAAUUUUUAUACAAAGCUUGCCUUUUAUGUUACCUUGGUACCAAAUAGCUGAGCUUGCUCCUUGCUCGCAUAUUAGGGUAACUUGAUCCAUGCAGGAAUUAUGGGAUUGAGACACACAAUGAAGCAAGGAAUGAUUUAUACUAUUUUUUGCCAAUUUGCUUUUGCUUUGUUAUGAUGCUUAGUUCACAUUUGGGUUUCUAUUUUAGAAAAUCAUUAGCAAGAAUAAUUAGUUGCUAUACUUAUAUUAUAUAUGAGGCAAGGUAGUUCUUACAUUGCUUUAAUUACUCUACCCUUAUUAUACGCAGUGUUAGUAAAGUAGACUUUGAAGUAUCGAAUUACUAUGCUUCGUCUUGUUCAAUUGAGGGCGACUGGUCAUUUUCUUCUCAUGUCUACA